rnacentral:rRNA from 1 species
UACGGAGGAUGCAAGCGUUAUCCGGAAUGAUUGGGCGUAAAGCGUCCGCAGGUGGCUAUGUAAGUCUGCUGUUAAAGAGUGAGGCUCAACCUCAUAAAAGCAGUGGAAACUACAUGGCUAGAGUGCGUUCGGGGCAGAGGGAAUCCCUGGUGUAGCGGUGAAAUGCGUAGAUAUCAGGAAGAACACCGGUGGCGAAAGCGCUCUGCUAGGCCGCAACUGACACUGAGGGACGAAAGCUAGGGGAGCGAAUGGG